AUUGAACGCUGGCGGCAGGCUUAACACAUGCAAGUCGAGCGGGGGAAGGUAGCUUGCUACCGGACCUAGCGGCGGACGGGUGAGUAAUGCUUAGGAAUCUGCCUAUUAGUGGGGGACAACAUCUCGAAAGGGAUGCUACUACCGCAUACGUCCUACGGGAGAAAGCAGGGGAUCUUCGGACCUUGCGCUAAUAGAUGAGCCUAAGUCGGAUUAGCUAGUUGGUGGGGUAAAGGCCUACCAAGGCGACGAUCUGUAGCGGGUCUGAGAGGAUGCGCCACCGCACUGGAACUGAGAAACAGCCCAGGUUCCUACUGGAGGCAGCUGUGAGGAAUAUUGGACAAUGUGGGGAACCCUGAUCCAGCCAUGCCGCGUGUGUUAAGAAGGCCUUAUGGUUGUAAAGCACUUUAAGCGAGGAGGAGGCUACUUUAGUUAAUACCUAGAGAUAGUGGACGUUACUCGCAGAAUAAGCACCGGCUAACUCUGUGCCAGCAGCCGCAGUAA
rnacentral:rRNA from 1 species